CGUUCAGAAGAAUCCAUUCAACAUGGCGGAUAAUCGCAAGCGACCGGAGCAAACUUAAUGGAACAACUUGCUGAGCUGGAUGCUGAAUACAAAAGAGUGAGCCUCAACACUUAAGGUUUGUGCUGAGUUUCACCAUAUCAGAGAAAGUGGCACACACCAGCAAGAUUUCACAGAUGUUGCAU